CAGUCCGUACUCGUUUCAGGGCCGAGUUGCAUGGCGGCAAGAACCCCAGUUAGUCUACGAUAGGAUCUAGCGAGACAAGGUCCCUGGUCACGGCAACAUUGCCGAGCACGAACCGCGACCCAGACCUAGAAACACCCUCUUUCGUCCACCCCCUCGGAAAGCUGCCAGUUUCUCGCUUUUGUAGAUCGACUGAGACUCGAGACGGUUUACACACUUUCGCUAGAAACAACGCCGAAGUUGUCGAAAAUUAAAACAACAUCAUUGAAAAAAGAACACCUCGUUGAUUACUUUGAGUAAAAAAAAUUUUACGGUAGAUUUUCACGGAUUUUUAAGUGUUCCUUUAGAAACCUCAAUUUAAAACUAAUUGUCGCAGAAAAAUAUCCUUCAAUGUGUUAUUACCUUGGAAAAAAAAGAACAUCUCGUUAUCAUCAUCUUACCCAGAGCAGUCAAAGAAAAGAAUUAAAAAAUGCUGCAAAUCAACGUGGCUUUCAACGCUUCGCCAAACUGUUUCAAAGGUUCUUGCCCCGCGUUACGUAUGAUUGGAACCUUCUCUUAGGAAGAUAUACAAAAUGUCGACUUUAACUAGCUCCUUCGAUCCUGAAAGCGAUGUGAGUUUUUCCCCGAAAAUUUUUCCAAUUUACCUCUAUCCGUAUUUAGGAUUAACGUAAAUAUGAUAAUGAAUUUUAUCAGAAUUCGACAUGUUGAAAAAAACUUAUCUAAUUUCACCAC